UGGGGGAUAUUGCACAAUGGGCGAAAGCCUGAUGCAGCGACGCCGCGUGGGGGAUGAAGGCUUUCGGGUUGUAAACCUCUUUCGCUAUCGAACAAGGCCCGCUUAGGGUGGGUUGAGGGUAGGUGGAGGAGAAGCGCCGGCUAACUACGUGCCAGCAGCCGCGGUAAUACGUAGGGCGCGAGCGUUGUCCGGAAUUAUUGGGCGUAAAGGGCUUGUAGGCGGCUUGUUGCGCCUGCUGUGAAAACGCGGGGCUUAACUUCGCGCGUGCAGUGGGUACGGGCAGGCUUGAGUGUGGUAGGGGUGACUGGAAUUCCAGGUGUAGCGGUGGAAUGCGCAGAUAUCUGGAGGAACACCGAUGGCGAAGGCAGGUCACUGGGCCAUUACUGACGCUGAGGAGCGAAAGCAUGGGUAGCGAACAGG
rnacentral:rRNA from 1 species